ACGGGUGAGUAACACGUAGGCAACCUGCCCUCAAGCCUGGGAUAACUACCGGAAACGGUAGCUAAUACCGGAUAAUUUCUUUUUUCUCCUGAGAGAAGAAUGAAAGGCGGAGCAAUCUGCUGCUUGGGGAUGGGCCUGCGGCGCAUUAGCUAGUUGGUGGGGUAACGGCCCACCAAGGCGACGAUGCGUAGCCGACCUGAGAGGGUGAACGGCCACACUGGGACUGAGACACGGCCCAGACUCCUACGGGAGGCAGCAGUAGGGAAUCUUCCGCAAUGGGCGCAAGCCUGACGGAGCAAUGCCGCGUGAGUGAUGAAGGUUUCCGGAUCGUAAAGCUCUGUUGCCAGGGAAGAACGUCCGGUAGAGUAACUGCUGCCGGAGUGACGGUACCUGAGAAGAAAGCCCCGGCUAACUACGUGCCAGCAGCCGCGGUAAUACGUAGGGGGCAAGCGUUGUCCGGAAUUAUUGGGCGUAAAGCGCGCGCAGGCGGUUAUUUAAGUCUGGUGUUUAAACCUUGGGCUCAACCUGAGGUCGCACUGGAAACUGGGUGACUUGAGUACAGAAGAGGAAAGUGGA
rnacentral:rRNA from 1 species